ensembl:lncRNA
UGUCCGUACGGGCAAAUUAAUGUGGAGGAUCCUGCUAAGAAGAAACUUCAACUCUUUGUUUUAUGUAUAGUAGUAAAUGUUAAGAUCGGCUGAACAACUCAUUUUGUGUGUUCCCAUAUUGAAUUUGGACUUCUUUUAAUGCACAUUCGUCUUACACUCUGUUUAAAAUGAUGAAAUACGCUACACCAGAUGUGCAACCCACACUCCAGGAAAUGGUUUGAAUCACAUCUAUCCACUGUGAUUUGACUUACAGGAGUUGGUGUGCUCCUCUGUCAGAUGAAUUCCACAAGCGGGAAUUUUCGCAGUGAUGAAUAUUCAUACGGUUACAGGCGAUCUUAAUUUUGACAGCUGUCAAUUCAGACUACGUGCUUCCUCCCUGGUAAAUGUACGACCAAGAAAACACCAUGGAAAAUUAAGUCUUCUCAUAAAUGUGUGUUGACGUUAAAUACAUAGGCUUAGAAGGCUUCGUUUCAUGUUUAAAAAACCUGAAAAAACACAAAUUAUAUGUAAAGAGUUAACAGAAGUAUUUAUUAUUAUUUUAUGUAACUUAAACUAAUUAAAAUUACCUUUCUAGAAGUUCUCAAAUGUAUUUUGGCUUUGCUUCAACAGGUCUUGUACAAUUUACAUAUGCUAUAUAUAGGGUUGUUGUCAAGGCCCUGUGUAAAAAUGUCCUUAAUGGCAUACACUUUGAGCUACUUUGAGGGUGCAGGAGAUUAACAAUAAAAAAUGGUCCUUGGCCCUUUCAGCAACGACUGUAUGUGUUUGAGAUUCCGUGUGCAUGUUUAUGUAUUUACGCAUAAAGAAUUGUUUAAUUGCAUAUAAAGUUUAUUCAUUCAAAGUACAUCAUAUUCAAAGUACAUCACAUUCAGUUGUUAGUGUCUGCUACCUCCUGGCCAUUAUAUGCAUCUUCAUAUUUGCCUGUCUGAUUUAUAUCUCCCUGUGGCUAACUGAGAUUGAUACUCUGGUUUUCCAUCCACUGAAACUGAUUUCAGUGCAAAAAAUGAUAUGCAAAGCCAAGUAGGAUUUUGCCCCAGGCACUGGCCGUCCAACCUGUCACACAGCAUCGCAGGGCAGGAACAAGGAAACGGUCUCUGAAUGCGGGAAUGUGUGUGUAGCAGAGCCCUGUCCCAGCUUUGCCGACUGGCGCCGAGCACGAUAUCAGGCGACGGGAGGGUCCCAAGGCGGGCACACAUUUAUCAGGAGCAAGGCCCUGUGAACGUUGACAAGGAGAUUCAUGAUCUCAACAGUUCCAGGGAGGACAGGCAGGCAAGGGGCUUGUGGCAUCGUCAGUCCGGAUGAGAGGCAAAUUUAUUUGGGUAAAACCUAAGAUGAGGCAGCGGAGCGUACGGCAACAACAUUUCCAGUGGAAUGGCAAAGGUGUCACACUCAUCAAGUACCUGGGCAUGCCUGCCAUCGGUCUGCUUGUUUUGCCUAGGGACUUGUCUGUCACAUUAAAGUAGAUGCAUUGCCAUUCAAGACCCUUCCCAGUCCUAGUGCCUGACCAUGAAAUAGGCCAACUUUCAAGUCUGCCUUAUUCCUCUGCAUCAUAUGACUUCAGAGAUCGCAUAGUGUUGUCGUUCUUUUUUUCCCCUUUUCUGUCCCUCCUUUCUCUGUUUCUUAGUAUUUGGUGACUGAGACGCAAAUGCUACACAACGCUCAGUCCCUCAGAGCACAGACAGAUUUCAAGAAAACUUGCUUUAGCAAACAACUCACAAGCCAUGCGCUCGCUAGACUUGUCAUGCUCUGGGAUCAGGUGUGGGAAUCAUAACAACUGAACAAGAAAACAUGCAAGUGAGGAAAGGGAAAAUGAGUCUAAAACCUCAAGGGACUACCUUGGAAAGAGAGGAAACUGGUUAUGCUUGAGUAGGAUCUCCAUCCAGGAGAUUCCUUUGGUGUUGAAACUGAGCAUCUGGUGAGAUCUGUUUAUUUCCUCUGUCAGUUAAUUGUGCAUACAAGUCUGCCGAAGGUUACAGACUAUAUGUAAAAUCUGUGGUUUAUUACAUGAAUCUUUCUGCCUAUAU